GCCGCAAGGCCUCCUGGGUAACCUACCACCCUUUGUUUAUUACACUUUGUUGCUUUGGCAAGCCUGCCCUCGGGCUGCUGGCUCCGGCCGGCGAGCGCUUGCCAGAGGACCUAAACUCUGUUUGUCUAUACUGUCUGAGUACUAUAUAAUAGUUAAAACUUUCAACAACGGAUCUCUUGGUUCUGGCAUCGAUGAAGAACGCAGCGAAAUGCGAUAAGUAAUGUGAAUUGCAGAAUUCAGUGAAUCAUCGAAUCUUUGAACGCACAUUGCGCCCCCUGGUAUUCCGGGGGGCAUGCCUGUCCGAGCGUCAUUACAACCCUCAAGCUCAGCUUGGUAUUGGGCCCCGCCGACCCGGCGGGCCCUAAAGUCAGUGGCGGUGCCGUCCGGCUCCGAGCGUAGUAAUUCUUCUCGCUCUGGAGGUCCGGUCGUGUGCUCGCCAGCAACCCCCAAUUUUUUUCAGGUUGACCUCGGAUCAGGUAGGGAUACCCGCUGAACUUAAGCAUAUCAAUAAGCGGAGGAAAAGAAACCAACAGGGAUUACCUCAGUAACGGCGAGUGAAGCGGUAACAGCUCAAAUUUGAAAUCUGGCCUCACGGUCCGAGUUGUAAUUUGUAGAGGAUGCUUCGAGCAUGGUCUGGCCUAAGUUCCUUGGAACAGGACGUCAUAGAGGGUGAGAAUCCCGUAUGCGGCCAGGUGCCUACGCUCAUGUGAAGCUCCUUCGACGAGUCGAGUUGUUUGGGAAUGCAGCUCAAAAUGGGUGGUAAAUUUCAUCUAAAGCUAAAUAUUGGCCAGAGACCGAUAGCGCACAAGUAGAGUGAUCGAAAGAUGAAAAGCACUUUGGAAAGAGAGUUAAACAGUACGUGAAAUUGUUGAAAGGGAAGCGCUUGCAACCAGACUUGCGCGCGGCCGAUCAUCCGGUGUUCUCACCGGUGCACUCGGCCGUGCUCAGGCCAGCAUCGGUUUUGGCGGCUGGAUAAAGGCCCUAGGAAUGUGGCUCCUCUCGGGGAGUGUUAUAGCCUAGGGUGCAAUGCAGC
rnacentral:rRNA from 1 species